GGGACACGUGGUAUCCUGUCUGAAUAUGGGGGGACCAUCCUCCAAGGCUAAAUACUCCUGACUGACCGAUAGUGAACCAGUACCGUGAGGGAAAGGCGAAAAGAACCCCGGCGAGGGGAGUGAAAAAGAACCUGAAACCGUGUACGUACAAGCAGUGGGAGCACAGGUUUACCUGUGUGACUGCGUACCUUUUGUAUAAUGGGUCAGCGACUUAUAUUCUGUAGCAAGGUUAACCGUAUAGGGGAGCCGUAGGGAAACCGAGUCUUAACCGGGCGUUAAGUUGCAGGGUAUAGACCCGAAACCCGGUGAUCUAGCCAUGGGCAGGUUGAAGGUUGGGUAACACUAACUGGAGGACCGAACCGACUAAUGUUGAAAAAUUAGCGGAUGACCUGUGGCUGGGGGUGAAAGGCCAAUCAAACCGGGAGAUAGCUGGUUCUCCCCGAAAGCUAUUUAGGUAGCGCCUCGUGAAUUCAUCUCCGGGGGUAGAGCACUGUUUCGGCUAGGGGGCCAUCCCGGCUUACCAACCCGAUGCAAACUGCGAAUACCGGAGAAUGUUAUCACGGGAGACACACGGCGGGUGCUAACGUCCGUCGUGAAGAGGGAAACAACCCAGACCGCCAGCUAAGGUCCCAAAGUCAUGGUUAAGUGGGAAACGAUGUGGGAAGGCCCAGACAGCCAGGAUGUUGGCUUAGAAGCAGCCAUCAUUUAAAGAAAGCGUAAUAGCUCACUGGUCGAGUCGGCCUGCGCGGAAGAUGUAACGGGGCUAAACCAUG
rnacentral:rRNA from 1 species